GGAGACCAAGGGGCGCAAAUGGUACCUAGGCAUGUCCGAAUCAAGAAACUGCCUGCAAAACACAAACAAUCACAGCCGCAGAAGCCCGCGGAGACGCCCAUGGCUCGAGCUCAGGGUCAGCUCUCGGCUUCUUCCUCCUGGGCCAGGUCGAGCCCUCGGGACUCGGGAGCACCCUCCCCGUGUCCCUGAAGCCCCAGAAAGCAGCACCUCAGACACAGCCAAGCCCUCCGACCUUCCCCCCCGGGAGGGCGGCUCUCAGUCAUGAGCUGCCUGCCCCGGCCUGGCCCCCACAGGCCUCCGCCUCACAUCCCCGCCCGGCCUGGCAAACCCCGACAGGCCUGCUUUGUCAGGGGCUGCCGGGGGGCCACAUCCACCCACCCUGAUGCGGUCAAGCUCAGACUGCCCAGUUUGCAGAGAUCUCGGCCAUCACCUGGGAGCUUGGAAAGGAACAGCCCAGUGACGAGGAGCGUGGGCUAAGCUGUGCCGCUGGGCAGACCUCCACCCCGGGACGCCAGACUGCCGACCCAGCUCGACCCUGAACUCCUCCAGGACCCUCGGCCCCAGCACUCCUGCCAGAGGGUACAGACUUGCCCGCAGCGGUGUGGUUGGGAAAUCCAAGCUGUUUGUCCGCCCCGUGCCUCCCACUGCCCCAUUCCGCCCAUCCACCCACGAAACUCCCGAGGACAGGACCCAGCUCAUCCGCCGGCAGCUCCCACGCGGCCCCUCCGUGGGGUGACCGAGUGAGCCAGAGACAGGGUGGUGCGCAGACAAUCCCGCCGGGGGAAGUCGCGGCCACAGGCACCCCUCCCUGCACCCCUUCCUGGAGGGCUUGGAAAGCUUUGGGCCCUUUGUGGCCAGGGGGGCCAAGUGCGUGAGCUGAGAACGCACCCUGGGUUCUGACGCAGACCCUCCUCCAGGGAGUCGGGAGCAGCCCUGCCGCCGCCCCCAGGGGACUCACCGGUCGUCCUGGGCUGGGUAGAUGUAUCCAGACGAGAGGAUGUUGAGGGACAAGAUGCUGGGGUCAAUCAAGGACUCGUCGGUUUCCGGGGUGUUUCGGAUGCGACCUACAGGAAAGGGGACAGGCCGCGUGUCACUGCCCAGGAGGGCAGGUGGGGGGCUGGGUCCCUGCUCUCCGCCUCUGCCUGGGCCGGAGCUUCCACCUGUGAGGCCACGCCAUGUGGCUCCCCACGUGGCCACAAGAGCACCUGACAAAAGGCAACACCGGGGGUGUGGGGGACAGGGAGGCCCACACGGGGGCUGCACCUGCACGUGUGCCACCUGUCAGUGGGCGUCCUGCCAUCUUUCCCUGCAGCCGAAGUUCUGAGUUUCUUAGUCUUUCAGCCAUCGAUAACUCUCGCAGUAUCUCCCCCACCCCAACUGAUAGAUGCCAAUCCCUCAGCCUAGAACUCACAGGCUCUCCUACCUGCUGGAAAAGGAAAUCUUAGCAAGAUGAGAAGGAGAAAAUGUUCCCUUUUCUCUUUACACUU
rnacentral:lncRNA from 1 species